AUUGAACGCUGGCGGCAGGCUUAACACAUGCAAGUCGAGCGAGCGGCGGACGGGUGAGUAAUGUCUGGAAAACUGUCUGAGGGAGGGGGAUAACUACUGGAAACGGUAGCUAAUACCGCAUACCAUCAGAUGUGCCCAUAUGGGAUUAGCUAGUAGGUGGGGUAAUGGCACACCUAGGCGACGAUCCCUCGCUGGUCUGAGAGAAUGACCAGCCACACUGGAAAUGAGACACGGUCCAGACUCCUACGGGAGGCAGCAGUGGGGAAUAUUGCACAAUGGGCGCAAGCCUGAUGCAGCCAUGCCGCGUGUGUGAAGAAGGCCUUCGGGUUGUAAAGCACUUUCAGCGAGGAGGCGUUACUCGCAGAAGAAGCACCGGCUAACUCCGUGCCAGCAGCCGCGGUAAUUC
rnacentral:rRNA from 1 species